rnacentral:ribozyme from 13 species
UUCUUUUUCUUUUUCUUCUCCUUUUUCUUUGAAAGUCUGGUGAGCAGGAGAGGUAAAUGAAGGGCACCGAAGUACCAGCUUAGAGACAUCAGAAGAAGAGAAAGAAGAGAUAAAAGUGUGUCGCAAGUCAAGAAAAGAACAACUUAACACCGCUUCUGUGAUUUCUGCAUCAAUUCUAAUAAUCGUCAUUGGAGACACAAACACAGACUGAAGUGGUACUCCAGAUUCUUUUAAACGCUGCAUGUAUUGUUCUGGUCUGUCAAUAUCCAUUUCUCGUAACAUUCUGUAUUCAAUAAAGUCAUUUUGCUCAUAAAAA